UUCCAGGCAACGACGUUUCGUUGAAUCUCAUUUUAACGAAAUUUAACAAAUUAAUUUAUUAUAUUCUUCUAUUCACUUUCAUUAAAUAAAUAUUUACACAAUAAAUACACUUUUAUUUAAAGAAAACUAACACAAUGCACCGAUAAAUGAAUAAAAGUCAAAAAGCAAUCUACGAAAAGAACAAUUUUGCGCGGGAAUUGCGUCACAAACUGAACCAGACGCCAUAUUGAAAGAAACUAGUAUUAUCCACUAAAAUGAAUACCAUUCCAUCUGGUGACAUUCUCAUGAAACUAUAAUAUAAUAAUUCACCAAUCAGAGUCUUUCUUUUAUUCUGCAUAACGACCAAUUACAAAUCUUGUUUCAUCCGUUUAAUUUGAAGAAAUGACGCAGUGAAAAAGGAAAACGGUGAAGUGUGAGUUUCUGUGGAAAAAUUAUUUCUUUGAACGAAAUUUUCGCAGUUAUUUCAAAGUUUCUUGUUCAUAGCAUUGGAUUGCUAAAGAUCCAAGGCAUUUCUAAAUGUUUGUUGAAAAAUGUGAUUUGGAAAUUGUGAAAAUACUUCGUGAAAAGAAAAAUUCAUCCUUCAAGAUUUUGAAUUUCUAUCGGAAAUGAAAAUGAAAAUGGACGAGUUAAGAAUAAGAAAAAGAACAAGUUAUAAUUACAAAAGGACAAUUAUAAUGUUAUAACGGUGAUAUAAAUUGCUGGGGACUGAUAAAGCAAGAAAGAAUUUGGUCGACAUCGAGGUUAUAUUCGAGAAUUAACAAGGGAAUUAAACGAAAAUUAAAGACGCGAAAGAAAAUUUUCUUCUUCUUUCAAGAAUUAACCGACAAAGUUCGUUCGAUGGAUAUAAUUAUAAAGGAUUAAGAAAAUAAUUGUUAAGUGGAGGAUUUAAUUUUUUUACUCUUAUAUGAUUCGAAGAUUACUAUAUGAAUCAAUAAAGCUUCUCCCCGCUUAAGCUGCUCUACAUUCAUUUGUGAAGAGAGAUUUGCUCGUACACAAAUACGUAUUUUCCUCAAUUUUUAAUUAUCAUAUCCUACUCUUAAUUUCAUCAACUUCUUGCCCUUUGAACAUUCGACCUCCUCUCACUCCACCCUCAAUCAAACCUUUCUCAAACCAAUUAAAAAAAAGAAACCAAUCUGCAAUAAUCUUGAUCUCAAAAUAAUUCACAACUUGAUCAAUCUCUCCCUCUCCACAAGUACGUAUUUUCCUCAAUUUUUAAUUGUCAUAUCCUAUUCUUAAUAUCAACUCCUUGCCUCCUUUGAACAUUCCAUUCAACCUCCUCUCACUCCACCCUCAAUCAAACCAAUUAAAAAAAAAGAAACCAAUCUGCAACACGCGAAUAAUCUUGAUCUCAAAAUAAUUCACAACUUGAUCAAUCCCUCCCUCUCCACAAGUACGUAUUUUCCUCAAUUUUUAAUUGUCAUAUCCUACUCUUAAUUUUAUCAACUCCUUGCCCUUUAAACAUUCCAUUCGACUUUCUUUCACUCCAUCCUCAAUCAAACCUUUCUCAAACCAAUUAAAAAAAAGAAACCAACCUGCAACACGCGAAUAAUCUCAAAAUAAUUCACAACUUGAUCAAUUCCUCCCUUUCCAAAAGUACGUAUUUUCCUCAAUUUUUAAUUGUCAUAUUCUACUCUUAAUUUUAUCAACUCCUUUGAACAUUCCAUUCGACUUUCUUUCACUCCACCCUCAAUCAAACCUUUCUCAAACCAAUUAAAAAAAAGAAACCAAUCUGCAAUAAUCUUGAUCUCAAAAUAAUUUGAUCAAUCCCUCCCUCUCCACUUGCAGAUGAACUUGGAACGAAUGGUGGUGGCCCGUUCGAAAAUAUCUGCGAUAUCGUCUCUUGGAUCCACCAUUUCCAAGGAGAAUCUACGCGCGUCGUGUCCACCCGUUUGGAAAGAAAGAUGUCGCGUUGCUUUUCGAACGUAAAGCGUGAGACCGCGGCAAUAAAUCAAAGGGGGAUCCCGGUUUGCUUUCGAACCGGGUUUCGAAGGAAAGGGGGUGCUUUUCAGGUCCACGACUCCUGGGAGGUGUCUCGCUACGAAAAAUCCAUUCGUCAUCCCCUCCACACACCUCCCACAUCGCCACCUUUCUUUCCCCCCUUGCUUCUUCCGCGUCUUCGAAACCACUCGCCGACUUUCUAUCCUCCAAUUUUUUUUCUUUUUUUUUUCUCCCCCUUCCUUUUCUUGUCCCAGUCCUCUCUAGAGCAUCGUCUGAGAGCAUUCUAGAUUUUCAGGUCUUGGGAGAAUUUCUGGAAAUCAAUCGAGUUGUUUGAAAGGGUGUGUUGGAAAGUUUAGGUUAGGAGGAAGAAGUAGUUUAUCGAGGGUUAAUGUAUCGAAGUUUUUACCAGAUUGAUAAAUGAUUAUCGAUUGGGUGGUUACUUUUAACAUUAGACAUUGGCAAUAAUAUCAUUUAGGAUGGUUGAUUUCGAUUUUGAUUAAUUAGAAUUAGAAUGAAUUGGUAGAAUAAAGAGAGAUGUUCAAGUAGAUUUGGAAUAUAAAUGUGUUUUUACGAUCUUUUUUGAAUAUCGAUUAUCGAUCGAUACAUUUUUCGUGCCGCUUGAUUAUACGCGUAAUUGACAGAGCAUGAUGAAAAAAGGAGCAUUACAUCGAUCGAUAAUCGAUGCCGAAUUCGUUUAUUUUCGAUCGAGAGCCAGAAGACAAUGUGAAAAAGCUCUUAGAUGUGUCGUGAUUGAUGAGGGAAAAUUUUAUUUCGAAAGUGUUUUGUUUGAUAUCGUAAAGAAGAGAAAGGUUGCGUUGGAAGAAAUGUUGGAACUUGUGGUAUUAUGGAAAUGGGGGCGGAUGGUGCGUGAUGGUGAUAAGGAAAAAGCGAUUGGAAUUUUUUAUAACCUUGUACCAAGGUUUCUUGGGUUUUUGGAGCAUGUAAUACCGAAAUGGAACUGCUUUUCCAGAUAAAAAUAAUAAAAAGUUGAACAGGACAAUUUAUGAUAUAGUUGGUGUACAUAAAAAGUAUAUGAAAACUAAUUGGUGAAAUAUAUUUUUUUUUUUGAUAUGCUAGUUGAAUUUUUAAAUUUUUUUUUUAAUUCAAUG